AGCAGCCGCGGUAAUUCCAGCUCCAAUAGCGUAUAUUAAAGUUGUUGCAGUUAAAAAGCUCGUAGUUGAACUUCGGAAUUUGCCCAUUGGUCAGGCUUAACUGUCUGCACUGGUGUGACGAGUUCCUACCUUCUGAGGAAUCUCCAUGUCAUUCAGUUGGUGUGGGGGGAAAUCAGGACUGUUACUUUGAAAAAAUUAGAGUGUUUAAAGCAGGCGUCCGUCUGAAUACAUUAGCAUGGAAUAAUAAAAUAGGACGGUUUGGUUCUAUUUUGUUGGUUUCUAGGAUCACCGUAAUGAUUAAUAGGGAUAGUUGGGGGCAUUAGUAUUCAAUUGUCAGAGGUGAAAUUCUUGGAUUUAUUGAAGACUAACUACUGCGAAAGCAUUUGCCAAGGAUGUUUUCAUUAAUCAAGAACGAAAGUUAGGGGAUCGAAGACGAUCAGAUACCGUCGU
rnacentral:rRNA from 1 species